GAUGAACGCUGGCGGCGUGCCUAAUACAUGCAAGUCGAGCGAACAGACGAGGAGCUUGCUCCUCUGACGUUAGCGGCGGACGGGUGAGUAACACGUGGAUAACCUACCUAUAAGACUGGGAUAACUUCGGGAAACCGGAGCUAAUACCGGAUAAUAUAUUGAACCGCAUGGUUCAAUAGUGAAAGACGGUUUUGCUGUCACUUAUAGAUGGAUCCGCGCCGCAUUAGCUAGUUGGUAAGGUAACGGCUUACCAAGGCAACGAUGCGUAGCCGACCUUAGAGGGUGAUCGGCCACACUGGAACUGAGACACGGUCCAGACUCCUACGGGAGGCAGCAGUAGGGAAUCUUCCGCAGUGGGCGAAAGCCUGACGGAGCAACGCCGCGUGAGUGAUGAAGGUCUUCGGAUCGUAAAACUCUGUUAUUAGGGAAGAACAAAUGUGUAAGUAACUAUGCACGUCUUGACGGUACCUAAUCAGAAAGCCACGGCUAACUACGU
rnacentral:rRNA from 1 species